rnacentral:tRNA from 1 species
GCCCAGGUAGCUCAGUCGGUAGAGCACACCCUUGGUAAGGGUGAGGUCGCGGGUUCAAGUCCCGUCUUGGGCU